AAAUUACACAAGCUUACACCCUAAACGUCCUGUAAGAAUGUAUGAAAAAUAAAGGAUUGAAGCGACGUCACCGCGGUUACUCCACCCGUCCUGACGUCACCUAGUCACGUGGGGGGAAGAUCGCACAGAAGAGUCGCCGACGUCGGAAAGAUUCGUUUGCUUUUGACCUGUGGACGUUUUUUAGCAGAAUGAAUGGCGAUUCUUCGCUCAUCAGAAAGAUCGUGGAGUUCUUCUGGAUCGCAGAUUCAGUUUGCUACUCUACAAGCGUCGAAAUCUUAUCGAAUUGUUUGCGAAUCAUUGAAGAAAAUCCUUGAAAAUAAAUUGUUACACAAUGAUUUUUAUUCUAGAAUACUGAAAUAAAUCAUUUUCUACAAUUAAUGACGCAAUAAUACUGAAAAAUUGCCAGAGAAACAACGUAAUCAACAAUUUUCCGUUGCGAAAAUGAAAGGAGGAAAAAUGUAAUUUACAAUUUUAUGUUGUCAAAUUACAAAGAAAAAAAUGCAAUUGACAAUUUUGUGCUGUGAAAUUAAAAGAAAAAAUGCAAUUGACAAUUUUGUGCUGUGGAAUUAAAAGAAAAAAUGCAAUUGACAAUUUUGUGCUGUGAAAUUAAAAGAAAAAAUGCAAUUGACAAUUUUGUGCUGUGAAAUUAA